UACGGAGGGUGCAAACGUUGCUCGGAAUUAUUGGGCGUAAAGCGCACGUAGGCGGACCGCUAAGUCGGAUGUGAAAUCCCUCAGCUUAACUGAGGAAGUGCAUUCGAAACUGACGGUCUUGAGUACGGAAGAGGGUCGCGGAAUUCCCGGUGUAGAGGUGAAAUUCGUAGAUAUCGGGAGGAACACCAGUGGCGAAGGCGGCGACCUGGGCCGAUACUGACGCUGAGGUGCGAAGGCGUGGGGAGCAAACAGG
rnacentral:rRNA from 1 species